rnacentral:rRNA from 1 species
UACGGAGGGGGCUAGCGUUGUUCGGAAUUACUGGGCGUAAAGCGCGCGUAGGCGGCUUUGUAAGUUAGAGGUGAAAGCCCGGAGCUUAACUCCGGAACUGCCUUUAAGACUGCAUCGCUAGAAUCGUGGAGAGGUGAGUGGAAUUCCGAGUGUAGAGGUGAAAUUCGUAGAUAUUCGGAGGAACACCAGUGGCGAAGGCGGCUCACUGGCUCGAUACUGACGCUGAGGUGCGAAAGCGUGGGGAGCAAACAGG